rnacentral:rRNA from 1 species
GAUGAACGCUGGCGGCGUGCUUAACACAUGCAAGUCGAACGGUGAAGCAGAGCUUGCUCUGUGGAUCAGUGGCGAACGGGUGAGUGACACGUGAGCAACCCGCCCCCGACUCUGGAAUAAGCGCUGGAAACGGGGUCUAAUACUGGAUAUGAGCUGCGACCUCACGGUGAGCAGUUGGAAAGAUUUUUCGGUCUGGGAUGGGCUCACGGCCUAUCAGCUUGUUUGUGAGGUAAUGGCUCACCAAGGCGUCGACGGGUAGCCGGCCUGAGAGGGUGACCGGCCACACUGGGACUGAGACACGGCCCAGACUCCUACGGGAGGCAGUAGUGGGGAAUAUUGCACAAUGGGCGAAAGCCUGAUGCAGCGACGCCGCGUGAGGGAUGACGGCCUUCGGGUUGUAAACCUCUUUUAGCAGGGAAGAAGCGAAAGUGACGGUACCUGCAGAAAAAGCGCCGGCUAACUACGUG